rnacentral:misc_RNA from 1 species
GUUGCGUCACGGGUCGAUUUAAUCACGACUUAUGAUUGACAAUAUACUCGAUGUCGAAGGCAGUUUAGCCCAACAAGUGGGGAGUUCGAUUUGGUUGGGACAAAUCGAACGAUCUGCGGUAGCAUCAAUAAUGACGUGGUAUGGAUGCAAGUUGAGCCAUGCCCGGAUGUUGUUGUUACUUUGUGAUGUCGAUGACAUUCGUCUUGAGGUGAUGCGGUGUCAUGUUGCCUGUGUAUCCUCGUUUCGAACUAUUGAGCUUAAAACAUGUGGAUUAUCGGUUAGUGACAUGGCAUCGCUCCCUUGGUUGAUGAAAGUCGUCCAAUGAUGUGGUGGUUUGUUUGUUUUCUUCUCGCAUCGCUCGGUGCAUUCUGUGGUCAUUUUGACUGUUGGCAGCUUGCUUGGCAAUUUAGCUUGGUGGGUUGCUACUGGUUGGGUGUCUUCGGGGAUGUCUACCGUAAAGGUGCAUGAGUGGUGUUUGGUUUGUUACGGGUGGUUGGCUCUUUGCUUGCGCAACAACUUCUACCCGGCAUACCUCUUCAGUUUUGUGUCAAUGCUUGUAUUGCAUUGAAUACACGGCGGGUUUCUUGUGUUGCAUGCCUAAUUAAUGGUAUCGUUUGAUGAAUUGGUUUUCCUUUCGUCUAGCGUCGCCCAUGCGAUGUGAGAUGAACCUUGAAGCAGCCUUUGUGAUCCACUCGUUUGAUGCAUACGCAUUGAUUUUGUGGCCCAUUGAGUGUUGCUCGGUCUCAUGGAUACGGAACCUGGUGUGGGCAUGGAAUCUUAAUGGUUCCUUGUUUGCCCAAGUUUAGCUUUUCUAAAACGAUUGUCU